rnacentral:rRNA from 1 species
UACGAAGGGGGGCUAGCGUUGCUCGGAAUCACUGGGCGUAAAGCGCACGUAGGCGGCUUUCUAAGUCAGGGGUGAAAUCCUGGAGCUCAACUCCAGAACUGCCUUUGAUACUGGAGAGCUAGAGUCCGGAAGAGGUGAGUGGAACUGCGAGUGUAGAGGUGAAAUUCGUAGAUAUUCGCAAGAACACCAGUGGCGAAGGCGGCUCACUGGUCCGGUACUGACGCUGAGGUGCGAAAGCGUGGGGAGCAAACAGG